rnacentral:rRNA from 1 species
GACGAACGCUGGCGGCGUGGAUUAGGCAUGCAAGUCGAACGGUAUCAUCCUUUCGGGGGUGAGAGAGUGGCGAACUGGUGAGUAACACGUAGGUUAUCUACCCUCAAGACGGGGACAACCCAGGGAAACUUGGGCUAAUACCGGAUGUGAGCAACUUUUAGUUGUUUGAAAGGUGGCGUAAGCUGUCGCUUGGGGAUGAGCCUGCGUCCUAUUAGUUAGUUGGUGAGGUAACGGCUCACCUAGGCAAUGAUAGGUAGGCGGCCUUAACGGGUGGUCGCCCACACUGGGAUUGAGAUACGGCCCAGACUCCUACGGGGGGCAGCAGUCUAGAGGCUUCCGCAAUGGGGGAAACCCUGACGGAGCGACGCCGCGUGUGGGAUGAAGUCUUUCGGGAUGUAAACCAUUUUCGCUGGGAAAGAAGGUCUCAGUCGUGAACUGAGAAUUGACGGUACCCGGUAAAGAAGCCCCGGCUAACUCCGUG